rfam:Clostridium argentinense CDC 2741 T732.Contig251, whole genome shotgun sequence.
CUCUUAUCAAGAGAGGUGGAGGGAAACGGGCCCUAUGAAACCCGGCAACCGGUGCGUAUGUACAACGGUGCCAAUUCCUGCGGAAGUAAUUCUGCAAGAUAAGAG